GAUAUAUAUGUAUAUAUAUAUAUAUAAAUAAUAUAUUAUUUUUUUCAGUCCCUAUUGUCAGUACUGUUUAAAUUAUGAAGGGCUCAUAUUUUAAUAAUUUGACAAUAGGAAAUGCAGUCACUGAACUGAGUUUUGUUUUUGUGUGUGUUUUGUUUCACUGUUACACUGCUACAUUCCGCCAUUUUUUUUAUGACUUCACACUCUGCAGCCAUUACUUUGAGCAUCAUGGAGGAUGAGGAUAUGCAAUAUGUUUGAAUUGAUUGCCUUAACUGCCUAUAAAUGUCACAAAAAGUUUGUUAUUAACUAUCACGCUAAGAUAUUCCUCAUGUGAAUAAAAAAACAAAACAAAAAAAAACACUUUAAAGUGCUCUUUACGAAUCAUGUACUUUUGCAGUUAAACUCUUUAUACUGGAUAUAACAGUAAUAUAUUAAAUUUUGUGAAGACAAAUCAUGCUUUAUCUAUGUAUACAUACAAACAUUUCUGCAUCUAAAGGCAAUAUCUACACCUCUUUAGAAGCAUGUAAGGAAAUACUGUCAUUCACAGGUAUCAAUCAAAACUAAUCUUAGCAGAUCAUAAAAACUCACUUGUUGAGCUGCAAGUCACAAUAUGCGGUCGGUCACUUUAGAAAUUUAACUGCAAACCCAAGCUUAGCUAGUACAAUAGGUCGCCAGGUUGUAAUCACUGGUGGUGGAGGUAAGACUUUCUCUAAGCCCAUAUAUUCAUGUUUUUUGCCACAGUAUGUAUAUCAGAGAAGAUGUAAUGGAAGCUUCAUUUUGGUAAAGCUGUUGAAUCCCAUUCUAUAUUACAAACCCAUUAUCAUUAACCAUCAUGUAUAAAUAAUAAACCUGCCUACUCAUAGAAAUGUCAAUAAUAAUAAUAACUUUUUUUGUUUGUUUAAAGAAUUUUCAGUUUACGGUACAGUUGCAAAGAUUAACGAGUAGUGAUGAUUACCAACUGCAUCAUUACACAAUACAUUCAUGUAUAAUAUAUACGGUACAAAUUACUCCUGCAUUUGUUCAAAUGAAUAGGACCUAUGUAAUCUUGUAUUGCACUCGUUAGCUACCAGAUGCAAAAAGUUUUGUAAAACAGUUCAAACACUAAAAAUGAGGGAACUAUUUUUAGAUCAACAAUAAAUAAGUCAAGUGUUUGUUAUUUUUAUCCGUUACAUGUUAUUUUUAUCCGUUACAUAUAUUAAAACAUCAUUUUAGCUGUUCCCUAUUACCCAUCCUUUUUUAAGGAGUUAAAAGGUUUGCCUGCUCAGAGUAUAUACGGUUUGUCAAACUGAUUAAAACACAGUUCAUAAGGAAAUUAUAUUAUCUUCUAUAAUAUUUUUUUUU